UCCCCGUUAUCCGAGGCGGUCUCCCGUGAAAAAAUAACACGGAACAGGGGUUGCGCUCGUUACCCGACUUAACGGUACAUCUCACGACACGAGCUGACGGCAACCAUGCAGCACCUGUGAUGCACCCUCGAAGGCGGCCACUGUUUCCAGCGGCUUGCAGCAUCAUGUCAAACCUAGGUGAGGUUCCUCGCUUACCAUCGAAUUAAACCACAUGCUCCUCCGCUUGUGCGGGUCCCCGUCUAUUCCUUUGAGUUUUAGCCUUGCGGCCGUACUCCCCAGGCGGGAUGCUUAAUGCGUUAGCUAUUUUAACCGACACUGGGAGGGUCGAUACUCCCAAUAUCUAGCAUCCAUCGUUUAGGGCGUGGACUAC
rnacentral:misc_RNA from 1 species